AGUGAACGCUGGCGGUAGGCCUAACACAUGCAAGUCGAACGGCAGCACCGUAAGAGCUUGCUCUUACGGGUGGCGAGUGGCGGACGGGUGAGGAAUACAUCGGAAUCUACUUUUUCGUGGGGGAUAACGUAGGGAAACUUACGCUAAUACCGCAUACGACCUACGGGUGAAAGCAGGGGAUCUUCGGACCUUGCGCGAUUGAAUGAGCCGAUGUCGGAUUAGCUAGUUGGCGGGGUAAAGGCCCAGCAAGGCGACGUUCCGUAGCUGGUCUGAGAGGAUGAUCAGCCACACUGGAACUGAGACACGGUCCAGACUCCUAAGGGAGGCAGCAGUGGGGAAUAUUGGACAAUGGGCGCAAGCCUGAUCCAGCCAUACCGCGUGGGUGAAGAAGGCCUUCGGGUUGUAAAGCCCUUUUGUUGGGAAAGAAAAGCAGCAGGUUAAUACCCCGCUGUUCUGACGGUACCCAAAGAAUAAGCACCGGCUAACUUCGUG
rnacentral:rRNA from 1 species